UACGUAGGGGGCAAGCGUUGUCCGGAAUCAUUGGGCGUAAAGCGCGUGUAGGCGGCUUAGUAAGUCUGCUCUGAAAGCCCGGGGCUCAACCCUGGGAGGCGGGUGGAUACUGCUGAGCUUGAGUCCGGAAGAGGCGAGUGGAAUUCCUGGUGUAGCGGUGAAAUGCGCAGAUAUCAGGAGGAACACCAAUGGCGAAGGCAGCUUACUAGGCUGUAACUGACGCUGAGGCACGAAAGUGUGGGGAUCAAACAGG
rnacentral:rRNA from 1 species